AUUGCUACAUUCUACGAUUUGCUCUCCGACGUGGUACGGUUUGAUUAAGAAACUGCUGUUUGCUCGCCUAUUUAACAAGCAAACAAAAUCCUCCUGUUUACAUUAAAGACACUUAACCCGGAGUGUCACCGUAGCACCAAUCGAUCACUUGGACCCGUCAUCACUCGAGGCUACAUCGCCGACGUCCGUCGCUUUUGCCGCAUUUGACACCAACAGAGCGAUCGUCGACGAUGCCGACUUGUUGAAUUCACAUCUAAGCACACUUGUUGCUUCCGACGGGCCUCGCUCGAGAGACAAGACACGCGUGCAAACUCGUACUCGCGUUCCGUGUUACUGAACAGCGGGCUGUGUACCCGCCAUACCUGGUAGGUAGGGUAAAGUUUCAGGUUUCAUACUACACUAAAAAUAUACCACGGACGUUUUAUGACAGCCGCUGGAACAAUAACUAAUGCAUAGGUUACAUUUUUAUUGGCUUGUGCUAGCAUUUACUAUUGCCGAUCACGUUUGCUGAAAGUAUAAUCAAGUUUUUCGGCAGUGGUACUGCCAUGACAAGAAGGCAAGUUCUUUUGCAAAGAAAGAAGAUAUUAGAAAAGAUUUUGGCUCAAGAAAGAAAGGCAAACCUUCUUACCAUAUGUAAACGGAAAUAAUUUUUGAAGAAACGCAGGAUUAAUGGGAGAACAUAAAAGAAACGAUUGUUGCAAUUGCAUCUCAUGGUAUGACAACAUCAAUGUCACCUGUCCGUCACUGUUUUAUUUACAUUUGUAAUCAUGAGUUAAAGGUUUCAUGAAUGAUUUCUGCCCAUUCCUAACGGUUAUCCAUUACUUAUGUUCUGUAAAAAUUGUCAUUUGAAAAUAAAUAUAUUGUUCAACAACU